UUCAGGGGCAUCUAAUCAUAUGACUCAUGAUAAAAACCUACUCUUUAACAUCAUACCUUGACUGUUCCUUAUCUUGUAACUUUUCCUAAUGGUUACAAAGUGAAAGUAACUUGUACAGAUUCUUUUGCAUUAACUUCUUCCCUUACUCUUCACGAUGUGCUUCUAGUUCCUUCCUUUAAACACAACUUGAUUUCUGUUCACAAGUUGGUAAAACAAU
rnacentral:lncRNA from 1 species